GAAAUGCGAUACGUAGUGUGAAUUGCAGAAUUCAGUGAAUCAUCGAAACCUUGAACGCAUCUUGCGCUCGUGGUACCCCCACGAGCAUGCCUGUUCGAGUGUCAACUUUACACUCACUCAAAAACCCCUUGUUGGGUCUUUGUGGUGGAAUUGAGCGUUGGUUCGAAAGAUGCCAUCGCUUUAAAUUGAGCGGGGAAAACCGGUGAGAGGGCUCUUUGCCAUCAACCGCCAUCAUCCUAAGGGUUUUAGUAAAUGUUUCGACAUAGCUCCUAUCCUUUUGAUGGGUCUGGGUGAUGCUGGCCUUUCUCAACCAUCCCUAUCAAACUUUAUUAAUUCAACCAUUUGACCUCGAAUCAGGCAAGGCUACCCGCUGAAUUUAA
rnacentral:misc_RNA from 1 species